GCGAGUGGCGGACGGGUGAGUAACGCGUGGGAAUCUGCCCAGUAGUGGGGGACAACCCGAGGAAACUCGGGCUAAUACCGCAUACGCCCUACGGGGGAAAGCGGGGGAUCUUCGGACCUCGCGCUAUUGGAUGAGCCCGCGUCGGAUUAGCUUGUUGGUGAGGUAACGGCUUACCAAGGCGACGAUCCGUAGCUGGUCUGAGAGGACGAUCAGCCACACUGGGACUGAGACACGGCCCAGACUCCUACGGGAGGCAGCAGUGGGGAAUAUUGGACAAUGGGCGCAAGCCUGAUCCAGCAAUGCCGCGUGUGUGAAGAAGGCCCUAGGGUUGUAAAGCACUUUCAGUUGGGAAGAAACGCAGGGUGUNAAUACCACCCUGUAAUGACGUUACCGACAGAAGAAGCAACGGCUAACUCCGUGCCAGCAGCCGCGGUAAUACGGAGGGUGCGAGCGUUAAUCGGAAUUACUGGGCGUAAAGGGCGCGUAGGUGGUUCUGUAAGUCGGGUGUGAAAGCCCCGGGCUUAACCCCGGGA
rnacentral:rRNA from 1 species